rnacentral:lncRNA from 1 species
ACAGUACCUGCUGCAAAAGUUGAUGACAUGAGCUUGGCUGGAUACUCCUGUACCUGUGUGAAAAGCCAGGCCUGCUGGCACUCGCCUAUGACACCAGUGCUGGCUGGUAAUCACAGGAGAGCUCAGGGGACUCACUGGCCAACCACACCAACCAACUGGUAAAAUCCCCAGUGAGGGACCUCUUCUGGAAACAUGAGAUGGACAGUGUGAUGGCUUGGAUAGCUUUGUCCCACAUAGACUUGUGUGCUUGAAUGCAUGGUCCAUGGGGAGUGGCCUUGUUGGAGGAAGUGUGUCACUGUAGGGAUGGGCCUUAUCAUCUCUAUACUCAAGCUCCACCCAGUGUGGAAUUCCAGUCCCUUCCUGGCUACCUUUAGAUCCAGACAUAGAAUUCUCAACUCCUCCAGCACCAUGUCUGCCUGGAUGCUGCCAUGCUUCCCACCAUGACAAUAAUGGACUAAACCUCCGAAACUGUAAGCCAGCCUCAAUUAAAUGUUUGCCUUUAUACGAGCUGCCUUGGUCAUGAUAUCUCUUCACAGCAAUGGAAACCCUAACUAAAACAAGCAGCAAUAGAGGACAUGGACUGUGGACCUCUAUCCUCCCAACCAGCACGCACACAUACACCACAUACACACAUAAUAAUAAUAAUAAUAAUAAUAAUAAUAAUAAUAAUGUUUGACAUUUUGACUUGAAUAAAUAUUUCUCCAUAAAAAUACAACUUGUUAAUAAGUACUUGUAAAGAUAUUAAACAUCACUAAUCAUUAGUAAAGUGUACACAAUGAGGGCUGGAGAGAUGGCUCAGAAGUUAAGAGCACUUGCUGCUCUUGCAGAAGACUGGAGCUUUUUUCCCAGCAUGCACAGGGAGCAGCUCACAACCAGGGGAUCUGACAUUCUAUCUGACCUCUAUGGAUACCCAUAAACAUGGAAACACACACAAGCACACAAGCACACAAAUAAAGUAAAUUAAACAAGAAGAAAAUAAGGUAUUAUGUCAUACUCCUAAGACAGUUAGUAGUAAAAAGGAAAGAGAUGGGUGUUGCUGAAGAUGAGGAGGAAUCCAUUGUGCCUGUGGGUUGCGAUGGGGCCACAAAUUGAUGUAGCUCUUAUGGAAAAGUGUGAUGUUUCCUUAAAAAUGAAGAAUUUCUCUAUGACCCAGCAACACCACCACUGCUGGUUAUAUAUCUAAAGGAACUGAAAAUAGGUUUUCUCUAAAAAAGAUAUUUGUCACUUGUGCUCAGCUUUAUUUCCAACUGCUGAAAAGGGGAAGCAGUCCAACUCUUCCCUGAUGACAGAUGGACAAAUGAAUAAAAGGUGGGACCUACAGACAUGGGAACAGCUCAGCAUACAGUACAGCAUAGAGCACAAAGCAUACACUACAGCACAUAGCAUACAGCACACACUUCAGCAUACACUACAGUAUAUAGCAUACACUACAGCAUACACUAUAGCACACAGCAUACAGCACACACUUCAGCAUACAGCAUACAGCACACAGCACACACUACAGUAUACAGCAUACACUACAGCACACCCCAUACAGCACACACUACAGCAUACACUACAGCACACAACAUACAGCACACACUUCAGCAUACACUACAGUAUACAGCAUAUACUACAGCACACAGCAUACAGCACACACUACAGCAUACACUAUAGCACACAGCAUACAGCACAUACUUCAGCAUACACUACAGUAUACAGCAUACACUACAGCACACCCCAUACAGCACACACUACAGCAUACACUACAGCACACAACAUACAGCACACACUUCAGCAUACACUACAGUAUACAGCAUAUACUACAGCACACAGCAUAUAGCACACAUUACAACAUACACUACAGCACAGAGCAUAUAGCAUACACUACAGCACACAGCAUACACUACAGCACACAGCAUACACCACAUACUACAGCAUACACUACAGCACACACCAUAUACCACACACUACAGCAUAUAGCACACAUUACAGCACACAGCAUACACUACAGCAUACAGCAUACACUACAGCAUGGGUGACUCCUGAAGACAUUAGAAUAAGUGAAAUGGCACAAAAGGCCAAUUCCAUACCAUUUACAUGAGGUAUGUAGAGUUGGCAAAGGGGCAAAGAUGAAGAGCAGAUGGGUGGGCGUGGUUAGGGGGACCCAGGGAAGGAGGAAUGUUGAACUCCUGUUGAGUGAGUAGAGAGCCUCAGGUCUGUACUGUGAAGAGCUCAAGCUUGAAUGAACCAGAGACCCACAUUCAAACAUGUUAAAGCUGGAAAAGCAACUGUGGUACUUUGGUGCCUUCUACACUACCCCAGUCACAUGCCUUGGCCUUUAAGGUGUCUAUACAUUUUAGGAUGGCUGACCUCACCCAUUAUGUAUGCGAUUUGUUUGUGUUUCACAAUCACAAGUUAACCUCAUCUUCUACAUCUGACAAGGCAUACUUCAUUGUUCCUUUCUGUGUGGACAUCAGCAUCUUGCUUGUCAAUGCCAUCGAUGAAAAAGUAGCAAGCUUUAAGAUGAAGUACACAGUACUUAAGUACACAGUACACGUCAGGAUUAUAAUGUGCAAAUCUGGAGGGCUUUAAUCAAAUCUGGCAUUAUUUCUAUUCAGAGGGGAAAUAAGAGAUCCGUAAGACUCAAGUCAAGGUCUUCUCUGGCCUUCUGAAAAUGCUUUGCAACUAGGUGAGCAGAUGUAAGGGAGAGAGUGGCCAGAAAUAGUGGGCAAUGGGUUGAAGCCAUCUGCAGAGAGCUUCCAGGAAAAGCCAGCAAUCUCUUAGGACCAAGACAACCGUGAAGAAGGACCUAGAAGACACCGUGACCCAGACAACAUGAAGAAAUCCUUCCCAGAGAAGAAGGACAGCAAUAUGUUAGAACAAGACAAGAGGGCACAAUGAAACAGCCACAGCCCCUCUGAUGGUGGCACGGGGGCUGCUGCCUUGCCCCCACCCUGGCUUCAGGGUGGCUUCAGAGGGUGUAGAAUACUCUGAACUUCAAGGCCUUGUUUCUAACUGGGAAGAAAGGUUUGAAUACUGUUCUUGGAUGGUGCCUGGGCAAAGUUCAGCUUGCCCCACUUUCUUGUCACAGGAAGCAGGCUGCCCUAAAAAUCCUUUAGAACAGUGGAUCUUUUUGUAAUAGUUAGCAAAAGAACCUUUUUUUUAAGUGAAAAAAAAUUUUUGAGGAACAUCAAUAUAUAAAAAUAGUUGAAAGCCUAUCGGCUCUGCAACAGCUCAGCGCUUGAACACAUGGUGUCUCCCACUGCGCUCCAUCCCCCCCCCCCAUGGCAGCCUCUGCCACCUUCCCUGAAGCUCCAGUGUGACAGCCAGCCACCACCUCAGAAGGCCAGGCAGGCUGCUCGUGAGAACCAGAACAUAAAUGCCAGGCAAAUGAAAAAAAGCUAAAACCACACGUCAUGCACUAACUCGAAAAGACUAUCAAAUGAGUGGGUUCCCGGGAAACCCAAGCUCUAGAGCACCCGUGAGUUCCACACCAUCAUCUACUGCUGGAAAAAUCCCAAGAGACCGUGUGAUGCCGUGAAACAGCUUCUAGACUCGUAAGCCCAGAACUUAAGCCAUCCUUCUACGUGCUAGCUCUGUGACUCUGAGAAAACAUCUUCAAUUCUCUGGGCCGAGACUUUCUCACCAGGAAGACAAUGAUAAUAGUUUUCUUACACACUUUACACAGUUACGAAGGUCAGAUGGAAGAAUGAACCAAAGUCAUAUAUGAACGCUCAAGCUCUGUGCCUGGAUCAGGGCUUAAAGAUUACUGGCUGCUCUUCCUUCCAGAAGACCUAAAUUUAGUUCCCAGCAUGCAUGUGGGACAGCACAACCGCCUAUAUCCAGCUGCAAGGGAUCCCAUACUCUCUCAUGGCCUCUGUGGGCAGCUGCCCUCUUUUGUACAGGCCUCAACAUAGGUGCACAUAAGUACACACAAUUAAAAGUACAAUAAUUUUUAAAGUAACCUGUAAAGAUCUGAAUGCAUGAAAGUCAUUGAUAUCAUAAAAUCUCUAAGCCAGGCAUCAUGAUGCAAGCCUUUAACCAGCCUGGCCUAUAUAGAAAGUUCCAGGCCAGCCAGGGCUGCAUAGUGAGACCCUGUCAAAAGCGGAAAGACUGGGCCUUGGAGGUGAGCAUCUCUCUCUGAACCACACGCAGGCGGCUGCUGAAUGAGCAAUCAAUUGAGAAGGUUCGGAUGUGACUUUUCAGUAUCGAACAAACAAGACAACAAACAAGUAAAACUGCAAACGGCGACCCGUGCCCCUGAGUGGGGUGAGGACCCGCUCUGCCUCCAGUGGUUGCUCCACUCCUUCCUCUCUCCACAGGCCAGGGCAAUUGGCUCACAUGUGUCAAUUCCUUUCAAAACUGCUGCCCUCAGCAUUAGUUCCCUGCCGGUGAAGCCCUCGGGAUCCACAGUCUGUGGCUCUAUGUAGAAGACCCUAGGGCCAACUGAUCAAGUCAUCCCACGACAGCUAGUUCCAACUCUCACCACUAGCUAGACCUCGGGCAGUGUUGUGCAAUGAUGGAAAUGUUCUAUAUAAAGAUGCCCUCUGGGCUGCAGACGCAUUUGGGGCAGAGGAGCAUUACUCAAUGCACAUCAAGCUGUAGGUUCAAUUCCCUGCAUCAGAAAAAUAAAUAAAUAAAUAAACUUAUUCUCCCACCCUUUUUGAUACAGUCUCUCCAGAUGAAUGCAUGCUAAGGUAAAGGGGUGUGGUUCCGUUGACGAGCCCUUGCCUGGCAUGCACAUGCUCUGGAUUCAAUUCCCAGCAAAAUAUCAAUCCGGUGUGAUCAUUCGUGGCUGGAAUCUACAUCCAAGAGACAGAGCAAGGAAGAUCAGAAGUUUGAGGUCAUCCCCAACUACGUAAUGAGUUUGAGGCCAUCCUAGAAUACAUGAAACCAUGCAUUUUCUGCUUCAAAAUACAUCUUAUACCUAACCUACAUCUGGAGGGCUCAGUCACACACUGUAGACAGAGCACAGGUUGGGUGUUAGAGCAUAACUCACCAGGACUGCCCAUCAAGAGAGUACCUACAGCGUGUCAGCAGCCUUAGGAAAGAUCAAAGUUCAUGAUGGGAACUAUCCUUUCUACUGUUGCUUAUGGCAUUAGCACCAGGGUAAAGUUGAACCAUAGCAACACUGUCUAUACCCUAUGGGAGGGAGCCACUAGCCACACCCAGCUAUCGAGCCCUUGAAAUGUUCCUGUUGUCCCUGAGAAAUUAAUCUAAUGAGUUACCUAGAUUUUAAAUAGUCACAGGUGACUGCUAAUGGACAAGUCAGACGGGGUAGUCAUGCUUGAUCUCUCUGACAAAACUGAGACAAACAACAUGUUAAAUGUACCUGGGGCUAGCAGGAUAGCUCAUCAGGAAAGAUGUUCGCUGCUGAACUUGAUGCCCUGAGUUCUGGGACACAGCUGAUAAAGGAAGAGAACCACAUCCUACUGACUGGGGCUUCUCUGACCUCUGACCUCCACUCAUGCAUUGUGGGACAUAUACCCCCACACAUUCAUACACCAUGCUGGGUGGAGAGAGAGAGAGAGAGAGAGAGAGAGAGAGAGAGAGAGAGAGAGAGAAAGAGAGAGAGAGAGAGAGAGAAAGAGAGAGAGAGAGAGAUUUUAAAUAUAACUGAUAACUGUCAUUUUCUGCACACAAAUUUACUGUCAAACAAAUAAUGUUACCAUGUCCACAUGCUCUUGACAAGAGCAGAUUAAGGGCUCUGUCUUAACCCAAGUCUCUAUGAGUCCAUUUGCCAGUUGUUGGAACUUGUAAGCAGGCACUCUACUCAAGCUAGAUGAAAAGACCUCUCACCUGUGGGAUGCUGCACUGUGAGCCGAUGAGAUUUAGAAUAAGUCUAAUCUGACACCAAUUAAUGAUGUGCAUAAUAACUAUGGCUUAUGCAAUAAUUAGUUAUAAAGGGUAAAGUCAUUCUCAUAAAUGACUAAAAUUAGCAUAACUUUUACACUGUUUGUUCUCUGGUGUUAUCGACUGCAUCUGUAUCCCCAGCUUCCCGGAUUCUUUGUAAAUAUUCAUAUACAGCCCACCCCCGGUACCACCAGAAGGUUAGAGUCCCGCUCUCAAGCUGUUGCUUCAUGUUGUCCUGUCUAAUUGUUCUUUCCCACCCAGCAUGGCCCAAGGCUGAGAUGUUUGACGCUCCUGGCCACACUGCUGAGACAUACCACUCUCUGUCUCCCUGAGAUAGGCAGGAUAAGGACUCCCCUUUGAAGAAGGUGUCUGUCCCUUCCAGAUAGACUGUCACACAGCUCCCCUAUUCCUGUAACAGUUUAGGAUCAGGCAUGCCCUAAUAAGUAAGAGAGAUAAACAAGGUGACUUUUUCCAAACAAAUUAAACCAUUUAUUGAGUCAAUCUGUCUGAACAGGAGACCCCCCCCCCGUUUUUUAACCAUCUCAUAUAUAUACAUGAUGGGGUUUACAUGUUUAAAAUAUGGGUUGUAUGGGCCAUGCAUGAGCAGACUAUCCAACGUUUAUAACAACCUGUUAAUCAUGGUGAGAAUCUACCCUAUCCUAGCUCCUAGAGAUGAGCUUUUCUCUCCACCUAAACUUUGAGGUAUCCCCAACGACCUCAGGGAUCUUCCAUCACGUGUUUGUCUAUUCUGUGAAGUGUGCUGUAUGCCAUCACUCCAACUGUUAAUGAAUAUCUGCUUUUACUACCCUUCUGUAUCUUGUCCCAUGCAUUGUCUGAAACACAAAGAACCUGAGCAUCCCUGAGAAGGCAACCCUAGAAUCCCACUGGCAAUGCUGCCUUGAUAUGUCAUUGAAUGUGACAAAUGUCAUUGCUCACUUCCUGGGAGAAUCCAGUGGCAAAGACUCUGAGACCAACUGUGGCUAGACCGCCCAUCAAACCAGGUCAGGAAGGGGAGAUAGCUGGAAGUGGUGAGGGCAGCCACUCGGAGUUCUGCAGAGAACUUGCUCCUGUAGAGAUGAACAGCUCGAGGGGGAGGGGAAUGGGAUGAAAAUAAAAACAAGAGGUUGCCAGGUAACAAGAGGGCAGAACUGAAAUCCUCCUCCUGAGGGCGCCUGGCAGAAGCUGUGGCCUCAGACACUUAGGCUGAGCUGCACAGAGCAGUCCUUGGCAGUCUGCUUCUUGGGGUUCUUUCUCAGAGAUUGUGUUGACAUGGCGAAGAGAAUCAGUUAAUAGGAUCCAUUGGAAGAGGAAAAUCAUGAGCAAAGGGGCGCUGGAAAUCAGCCGUGGGGAUGACAGAAAGGGAAAGCUUGGAGCUCCAAGGAAAGAAACAUCAUUUUCCUAGGCACGGGAGGAGGGGGAGGCCACACAAGACCUGCUAGAUUUAGAGGAAACGGUAAUUUUUAUUUUUUUUAUUUAUUAAUUUGUUUAUUUUACAGUACUGAGAUUGAACCUCAGGCCUCACAGAUGUUUGGCAAGCACUCAAGCACUGAGCUAAAUUCCACUCCUUUCUCACAAUUUUUUUUUGAGACCGAGUCUCCCUAAGCUGCACAAAUUGAACAUGAAUUGUGCUCUGUAGCCCAAAUGGUACUUAAACCCCAAUCCUCCUGCCUCAGCUUCUGCAUAGCUAGGAUAGGAUUAUGGAUCUGCACCACCAGGACCCCCAGGAAAUUGUAAUUCGUGUGGCAUAUGUUAUGAUAUGUAUUUGGUCCAUUUAACCAGGGCUGGCCUCCAGCCUGGCUGAGAGGGUUUCAGGUGAGGAGGUCAGGACUGAGAGGACCUGAACAGUAAGGCUCCUCGGUGGAGUUUCUCCAUCCAGGACCUAGAUCGCAUUCUUCUCCAGUUAUGCCUCUAAGCUGGGUCCUGCUGGGUUAUGCCUCUAAACUGGAGUGCUGCUUGAUUAUAUCAGAGCCCCAGUUAGGGAAGAAUGCACAGGGCUUUUACCAACCAAAUCCCUCUCUCUGCAAGGAGCCUUUCCAUCUUCACAGCUUACAGUGACCCAGAAAUGGAAGACCAGUGGCCACAUUCACCCAGGGCUUUGUAUACGCUGAACUAAAUGUCUAUAUACACACACAUACCUGCAUUCAUGCAUAUGCAAACACACACACACAUACACAAAGGAACACAUGUAAAAACACACACACAAGUUCACAUCCACACAUGUGCAUGCACACACAGACACUAGCACAUAUGCAUAGACACACACAUGCACACACACACACACACACACACACACACACACACACACACAUCCCUUGCAGAGUCUUAGCCAUCACAGCACGUGCUGCUUCUCUGAAUCCCAGCUCCUUAAUCACAUUCCCCUUUUCUGGAAAUCUCCUAAGCCCCACCUUUGGUUGCUUAAAUCCUGGCACAAGGAGAGUCUCGAAGUGCUUGGACUCUCCUGUCCUUCAUGCAUGCCUUCACUUACUUCAUUUGCUUGUAAAUAACAGGAUGCAGCUUUCACCUGUGCU